rnacentral:pre_miRNA from 1 species
UCUUAUCAUCUAUCAUGUGGUUUUGACACUUGUUUUGUGGUUUUAUUAUUGAAACAAGUUUCAAAACCACGUGAUAGAUGAUAAGG